rnacentral:rRNA from 1 species
GACAGAGGAUGCAAGCGUUAUCCGGAAUGAUUGGGCGUAAAGAGCUCGUAGGCGGUUUGUUGCGUCGGCUGUGAAAUCCCGAGGCUCAACCUCGGGUCUGCAGUCGAUACGAGCAAACUAGAGUGUUGCAGGGGAGACUGGAAUUCCUGGUGUAGCGGUGAAAUGCGCAGAUAUCAGGGAGGAACACCGGUGGCGAAGGCGGUUCUCUGGGCCUAUUCUGACGUGGAGGAGCGGAAAGCAUGGGGAGCGAACAGG